GAAAUGCGAUAAGUAAUGUGAAUUGCAGAUUCCGUGAAUCAUCGAAUUUUUGAACGCACAUUGCGCCCCCUGGCAUUCCGGGGGGCAUGCCUGUCCGAGCGUCAUUACAACCUUCAAGCACGGCUUGUGUGUUGGGUGCCCGUCCCACUGUGGACGCACCCCAAAUGCAGUGACGGCAGUCGCGAUCCGGCGCCUGAGUGUAUGGGAAAUCCACCGCUCAAUAGGCCCGGCCGACGGCCUGUCAACCCUAUAAAUUUUUAUCUUGUUGACCUCGGAUCAGGUAGGGAUACCCGCUGAACUUAA
rnacentral:misc_RNA from 1 species